rnacentral:rRNA from 1 species
AGAUCGAACUAUAGAGUUUGAUCCUGGCUCAGAUUGAACGCUGGCGGCAUGCCUUACACAUGCAAGUCGAACGGCAGCGCGGGAGCAAUCCUGGCGGCGAGUGGCGAACGGGUGAGUAAUACAUCGGAACGUGCCCAAUCGUGGGGGAUAACGCAGCGAAAGCUGUGCUAAUACCGCAUACGAUCUACGGAUGAAAGCAGGGGAUCGCAAGACCUUGCGCGAAUGGAGCGGCCGAUGGCAGAUUAGGUAGUUGGUGAGGUAAAGGCUCACCAAGCCUUCGAUCUGUAGCUGGUCUGAGAGGACGACCAGCCACACUGGGACUGAGACACGGCCCAGACUCCUACGGGAGGCAGCAGUGGGGAAUUUUGGACAAUGGGCGCAAGCCUG